AUUGAACGCUGGCGGCAUGCUUUACACAUGCAAGUCGAACGGUAACAGGCCGCAAGGUGCUGACGAGUGGCGAACGGGUGAGUAAUGCAUCGGAACGUGCCCAGUCGUGGGGGAUAACGCAGCGAAAGCUGCGCUAAUACCGCAUACGAUCUAUGGAUGAAAGCGGGGGACCGUAAGGCCUCGCGCGAUUGGAGCGGCCGAUGUCAGAUUAGGUAGUUGGUGGGGUAAAGGCUCACCAAGCCAACGAUCUGUAGCUGGUCUGAGAGGACGACCAGCCACACUGGGACUGAGACACGGCCCAGACUCCUACGGGAGGCAGCAGUGGGGAAUUUUGGACAAUGGGCGCAAGCCUGAUCCAGCAAUGCCGCGUGCAGGAAGAAGGCCUUCGGGUUGUAAACUGCUUUUGUACGGAACGAAAAGGCUCUGGAUAAUACCUGGGGCUCAUGACGGUACCGUAAGAAUAAGCACCGGCUAACUACGUGCCAGCAGCCGCCGUAAGAC
rnacentral:rRNA from 1 species